AGGUCUCRUGCCUCCAACAUGUCGACGGCRACGUCUUCCUUCUCUAUGUUUGACCUCAAAUCAGGUAGGACUACCCGCUGAACUUAAGCAUAUCAAUAAGCSGAGGAAAAGAAACUAACAAGGAUUCCCCUAGUAACUGCGAGUGAAGCGGGAAAAGCUCAAAUUUUGAAUCUGGCGGUCUUUUAUGGCCGUCCGAGUUGUAAUCUAGAGAAGCGUCUUCCGCGCUGGACCGUGUACAAGUUUCCUGGAAUGGAACAUCAUAGAGGGUGAGAAUCCCGUCUUUGACACGGACUGCCAGGGCUAUGUGAUGCGCUCUCGACGAGUCGAGUUGUUUGGGAAUGCAGCUCAAAUAGGGUGGUAAAUUCCAUCUAAAGCUAAAUACAGGCGAGAGACCGAUAGCGAACAAGUACCGUGAGGGAAAGAUGAAAAGAACUUUGGAAAGAGAGUUAAACAGUACGUGAAAUUGCUGAAAGGGAAACGCUUGAUGUCAGUCGCGUCUUCCGGGGAUCAGCCUUGCAUUCAUUUGCUCGGUGUACUUCCUGGCGGAUGGGUCAGCAUCAGUUUUGACCGUCGGAAAAGGGUUCGAGGAAUGUGGCACUCUUUUGGGAGUGUGUUAUAGACUCGGGUCGAAUACGAUGGUUGGGACUGAGGAACUCAGCAUGACCCUUUGUUGGGUUCGGGGCUUUGGCCCACGUUKCAKGUU
rnacentral:rRNA from 1 species